rnacentral:tRNA from 1 species
GUGGCAGUGGUGUAGUGGUAGACUCUGUUGCUGUGUACCAGGAGGUACUGGGUUCGAUUCCCAGGAGCCAUG